GCUGGCAGGUCGUCUUAAGCAUGCAAGUCAGACGGAAUGUAGUAAUACAUUCAGUGGCGAACGGGUGAGUAACGCGUGGAUAAUCUACCUACGAGAUGGGGAUAACUAUUAGAAAUAGUAGCUAAUACCGAAUAAAGUCAAUUAAGAUGUUAGUUGAUGAAAGGAAGCCUUUAAAGCUUCGCUUGUAGAUGAGUCUGCGUCUUAUUAGCUAGUUGGUGGGAUAAGAGCCUACCAAGGCUAUGAUAAGUAACCGGCCUGAGAGGGUGAUCGGUCACACUGGAACUGAGAUACGGUCCAGACUCCUACGGGAGGCAGCAGCUAAGAAUCUUCCGCAAUGGGCGAAAGCCUGACGGAGCGACACUGCGUGAACGAAGAAGGUCGAAAGAUUGUAAAGUUCUUUUAUAAGUGAGGAAUAAGCUUUGUAGGAAAUGACAAAGCGAUGACGUUAAUUUAUGAAUAAGCCCCGGCUAAUUACGUGCCAGCAGCCGCGGUAAUACGUAAGGGGCGAGCGUUGUUCGGGAUCAUUGGGCGUAAAGGGUGAGUAGGCGGAUAUGCAAGUCUAUGUGUAAAAUACCACAGCUCAACUGUGGAACUAUGCUGGAAACUGCAUGACUAGAGUCUGAUAGGGGAAGUUAGAAUUCCUGGUGUAAGGGUGGAAUCUGUUGAUAUCAGGAAGAAUACCAGAGGCGAAGGCGAACUUCUAGGUCAAGACUGACGCUGAGUCACGAAAGCGUAGGGAGCAAACAGGAUUAGAUACCCUGGUAGUCUACGCUGUAAACGAUGCACACUUGGUGUUAAUCGAAAGGUUAGUACCGAAGCUAACGUGUUAAGUGUGCCGCCUGGGGAGUAUGUUCGCAAGAAUGAAACUCAAAGGAAUUGACGGGGGCCCGCACAAGCGGUGGAGCAUGUGGUUUAAUUCGAUGAUACGCGAGGAACCUUACCAGGGCUUGACAUAUACAGGAUAUAGUUAGAGAUAACUAUUCCCCGUUUGGGGUCUGUAUACAGGUGCUGCAUGGUUGUCGUCAGCUCGUGCCGUGAGGUGUUGGGUUAAGUCCCGCAACGAGCGCAACCCUUGUUGUCUGUUACCAGCAUGUAAAGAUGGGGACUCAGACGAGACUGCCGGUGAUAAGCCGGAGGAAGGUGAGGAUGACGUCAAAUCAUCAUGGCCCUUAUGUCCUGGGCUACACACGUGCUACAAUGGCCUGUACAAAGCGAUGCGAAACAGUGAUGUGAAGCAAAACGCAGAAAGCAGGUCUCAGUCCAGAUUGAAGUCUGAAACUCGGCUUCAUGAAGUUGGAAUCGCUAGUAAUCGUAUAUCAGAAUGAUACGGUGAAUACGUUCUCGGGCCUUGUACACACCGCCCGUCACACCACCCGAGUUGAAGAUACCCGAAGCUAUUAUUCUAACCCGCAAGGGAGGAAGGUAUCUAAGGUAUGUUUAGUGAGGGGGGUGAAGUCGUAACAAGGUAGCCGUACUGGAAAGUGUGGUGGAUCACCUCUA
rnacentral:rRNA from 1 species